UUCCCCCUAUGAUUGCCAAUAGGAGCAUUCUUUUCCCUAGUAGAUGUUCCAUAGCUUAAAGAAGCCGGAGAAUCAGAUGCAAGGCGGUAAUUGAUACUCUCAUAAAUAUCCUCGAGAAAAUAAGUUGAAACAGGAUGUGUUCGUCCUUGAGCAGUAAUUACAGGGCAGUUACCAAAGUAAUGAGAAAACAAAUGUGAAUCUACUGUCGCAGACAUGAGUAUAACUUUCAGUUUUG
rnacentral:misc_RNA from 1 species